rnacentral:rRNA from 1 species
GUGUCAGCCGCCGCGGUAAUACGGAGGAUGCAAGCGUUAUCCGGAAUCAUUGGGCGUAAAGCGUCCGCAGGUGGCACUUCAAGUCUGCUGUCAAAGGUCGGGGCUUAACUCCGAACAGGCAGUGGAAACUGAAGCGCUCGAGUGCGGUAGGGGCAGAGGGAAUUCCUGGUGUAGCGGUGAAAUGCGUAGAGAUCAGGAAGAACACCGGUGGCGAAAGCGCUCUGCUAGGCCGCAACUGACACUCAGGGACGAAAGCUAGGGGAGCGAAAGGGAUUAGAUACCCCUGUAGUCCUAGCUGUAAACGAUGGAGACUAGGUGUGGCCUGUAUCGACCCGGGCCGUGCCGGAGCUAACGCGUUAAGUCUCCCGCCUGGGGAGUACGCACGCAAGUGUGAAACUUAAAUGAAUUGACGGGG